GAUGAACGCUGGCGGCGUGCCUAAUACAUGCAAGUCGAGCGAACAGAUGAGGAGCUUGCUCCUCUGACGUUAGCGGCGGACGGGUGAGUAACACGUGGAUAACCUACCUAUAAGACUGGGAUAACUUCGGGAAACCGGAGCUAAUACCGGAUAAUAUAUUGAACCGCAUGGUUCAAUAGUGAAAGACGGUUUUGCUGUCACUUAUAGAUGGAUCCGCGUCGCAUUAGCUAGUUGGUAAGGUAACGGCUUACCAAGGCGACGAUGCGUAGCCGACCUGAGAGGGUGAUCAGCCACACUGGAACUGAGACACGGUCCAGACUCCUACGGGAGGCAGCAGUAGGGAAUCUUCCGCAAUGGGCGAAAGCCUGACGGAGCAACGCCGCGUGAGUGAUGAAGGUCUUCGGAUCGUAAAACUCUGUUAUUAGGGAAGAACAAAUGUGUAAGUAACUAUGCACGUCUUGACGGUACCUAAUCAGAAAGCCACGGCUAACUACGUG
rnacentral:rRNA from 1 species